rnacentral:rRNA from 1 species
AAGGCCACACCACCCUGAACACACCUGAUCUGGUCUGAUCUCAGAAGCUAAGCAGGGUCAGGCCUGGGUAGUACUUGGAUGGGAGACCGCCUGGGAAU